rnacentral:rRNA from 1 species
CAGUAGCCACGGUAAUACAGAGGGUGCGAGCGUUAAUCGGAUUUACUGGGCGUAAAGCGUGCGUAGGCGGCUUCUUAAGUCGGAUGUGAAAUCCCUGAGCUUAACUUAGGAAUUGCAUUCGAUACUGGGAAGCUAGAGUAUGGGAGAGGAUGGUAGAAUUCCAGGUGUAGCGGUGAAAUGCGUAGAGAUCUGGAGGAAUACCGAUGGCGAAGGCAGCCAUCUGGCCUAAUACUGACGCUGAGGUACGAAAGCAUGGGGAGCAAACAGGAUUAGAUACCCCCGUAGUCCCUGUCUCUUAUCC